rnacentral:rRNA from 1 species
UACGUAGGUGGCAAGCGAUACUCGGAAUCACUAGGCGUAAAGCGCAGGUAGGCGGUUUGGUAAGUCUUUUGUGAAAGCUCCUGGCUCAACUGGGAGAGGUCAAGGGAAACUACCGGACUAGAGUGUGGUAGGGGAUACUGGAAUUCCUGGUGUAGCGGUGAAAAUGCGUAGAUAUCAGGAGGAACACCGGUGGCGAAGGCGGGUCUCUGGGCCGAUACUGACGCUGAGGAGCGAAAGCGUGGGGAGCAAACAGG